rnacentral:lncRNA from 10 species
GCAUCUGGGAACCUGUUAGAAAUACAGAUUCCCGGGCCCCAACCCACACCUACUGGAUUAGAAACUCUAGGGGUAGGCCCCAGCAAUCUGUGUUUUAAAAACCCCUCCAGGUGAUUCUGCUGCAUACUAGGGAAACCACAAGUUUCUGUAAGUGGGAUUCCCAGAGCUUACCUGCACCUUAUCCUUUUCUUGGCCUUGGCUGUUGAGAUCUUCCUUAGAUUCUUUGGUCUUCCCAAUGUCUUUCUAGUAAAUUCUUUGUUUUGUUUGAGCAACUCAGAGUUGCUUUCUGUUGCUUGCAACCUAAGGACCCUGACUAAUGGUCCUCCCAUCUAAUUCAUAUCUACACAGACCCUUCUUGAACCAUGGGCCUUCCUGCCGUAUGUAGACUGCAAUGGUUUGACUUCACCCUGGUCUUUGUAUUUUGCUUCAACGCCAAACCAUAUUAACUCCAAAGCAGAGCUCAGUGGGCAUCUGAUUAGGCUCUUUCACUGUCCUGCCUGUUUAUUCAGUUGCCUCCCCAGUAAUGCAAGUCUUUAUAAGAACAUCUCUUAUUCCUCCAUUUAGUUGACAUCUCUGUUUUUUUCGUCUUAGCUCCCAAUCUUCUUCUUCUUCUUUUUUUU